UACAGAGGUGGCAAGCGUUGUUCGGAAUUACUGGGCGUAAAGGGCGCGUAGGCGGUCUUGUAAGUCUUGUGUGAAAUCCCUCGGCUUAACUGAGGAACUGCACAGGAUACUGCGAGACUUGAGUUCGGGAGAGGGAAGCGGAAUUCCGGGUGUAGCGGUGAAAUGCGUAGAUAUCCGGAGGAACACCGGUGGCGAAGGCGGCUUCCUGGACCGACACUGACGCUGAGGCGCGAAAGCUAGGGGAGCAAACGGG
rnacentral:rRNA from 1 species